rnacentral:tRNA from 1 species
GUGGUGGCUCUGCGGUAGAGCGCUUGUCUGGCAUGUGUGAGGCCCUGGAUUCGAUCCUCAGCACCACA